GGAAGCCUCAACUACAAAAUGAACAUCAAGAGGCUACACGAUGAACAAACCGGGGUUUCUAACAAGUGAACUCAAAAUAAAAUGCAAGAAUGCCAUACCUGAGAUCUGAUGAACAUGCUAGUUAAACCGGCUUUCCCUCAAUAUGUCUAGAGGAUUCGACAUAUACAUAGAUAAGACAUCUUAACUUGGCCUCAACCGACAACUGAACAAUCCAACUUUGAGAAAUGCACAUGUCCAGAAACCUCACCUAAUCUCCACUGUGUCAGUUGAACACUCCAAAAUUUAUCGGUGUCAAACAUCCAUGAGACACAACGGAGAGGAGUUGAGGUUUCUCAAAGUUGAGGCUAAGUUAAAGGUGUUUAUGUAUGUAUUAUGCCUACCUAUUUUCCCAGUAUGACUUCUCCGAUGAAGGGGAUUCAGUGGAAUCCCUCACGUGCACCUAGCUCAGCCCCGGCAUUUAGGACAAAAUCUGAACAAGGAAGUGUGUGGUAAUCAAGGUAACUGCUCUUGCUGUAUCAGAUGGUUUUGGAGUAGCAGUUGCUGCUGCUCCGGAGGUUGUUGCUGAUUAUCUAAAUGUUGUUCCUGCUGAAGUUGAUUAUUUGGUGUCUGCUCGUGAAGCUGGUCUUCCGACUGCUGAGGCAGCUGUUGAUCUUCUUGCCAAGUCCAAACGAUAUCUUGAAGACCCGGUCUUAGGCCUUCGUUCAAUAUCUGUUGAUAUUCCAAUGUAUCCCCGUUUGAUUUUUUAACUUCCACCAAAUGAAAAGCUUCAACAACCUCAAAGAUCUCCACGUCAAUGCUCAAAGUUCCCUUUUUUCCUUCUUUUGUUCCUUCGAACUUCAGUAAUCCUGCAUCCCUUUUGCAAACUUUCAGCUUCAGAUGUUUAGCAAUAUUUUCGAGCUUGGAUAUGAUCACUGAUGCAGUUUUCCGGGAUGUGAAUUUAGUUUCUUUCUUUAAACAAGGUUCCUCGAACAAUCUGGAUAAAUCAAACUUAGCAUAAAGGGAAAUGAUAUCAAAAGCAUUCAACUUUGGAAUCGAAGCCACUUCUUGCUUGUCCUCUUUAUUUGCUGAAGCUAAAUCCGUGCUUACGUCGUCUACUACUGUAGAUUUAGAGGAAGUUGAAAUUCCCCUCCGGAACCACGAACUUGCUCUAAUUUUUGCAAGGGAAAUUCUUGAACUUGGAUUAGGAUCCAACAUUCUUGAAAGUAGACGUCGGGCUUCUGGUGGAAACCAACUCGGACAUUUGUAAUCAGCUUUCCCAAUCUUCCUAUACAUUUCCAUCAAAUUUGAGUCUUGAAAUGGAAGAUAACCAGCCAACAGAACGUAUAGGACAACCCCACACGACCAGAUAUCAGCCUUAGUCCCAUCAUAGCCUCUUCUGUUAAUCACCUCUGGAGCAACAUAAGCUGGAGUCCCACACGUCGUGUGGAGGAGUCCGUCUUGGUGCUUUGACUCAACGAGAGCACUUAAACCAAAAUCUGAAAUUUUUAAGUUUUCAUCGUCAUCUAACAGCAAGUUUUCAGGUUUCAAAUCCCGGUGAUAGACA
rnacentral:misc_RNA from 1 species